UACAGAGGGUGCGAGCGUUAAUCGGAAUUACUGGGCGUAAAGCGCGCGUAGGUGGCUUUGCAAGUCGGGUGUGAAAUCCCCAGGCUUAACCUGGGAACUGCAUUCGAGACUGCAUUGCUAGAGUAUGGGAGAGGGAAGUGGAAUUUCCGGUGUAGCGGUGAAAUGCGUAGAUAUCGGAAGGAACAUCAGUGGCGAAAGCGACUUCCUGGACCAAUACUGACGCUCAUGUGCGAAAGCGUGGGGAGCAAACAGG
rnacentral:rRNA from 1 species